CCUGAACACGCCUGAUCUUGUCUGAUCUCAGAAGCAAAGUGGG
rnacentral:rRNA from 14 species